rnacentral:lncRNA from 1 species
UAUAGUUCUGGGAGAAUACAACAACAUUAUAACUACUACUAUUACAAUUUAUAGGUCUUUAAAGCCUAACAAAAAAAGUUCCUCCUUUGUCUGCGUCCAAUUUCUCUAAAACACACACUGAUGGAACUUCCAAGCAAAAAAAUGAGUUAGCCUGAUUAAUGUCCGAUCCCUCCCUUGCUAGCGCAUCUGCCACUCUGUUAGCUUCCCUAAAAGUGUGCUGGAUUAGGGGGGUUCCCCAGACGCCUCAGCAGAUCCUUACAAUCAAAUAGCAUGUUUGUGUAAGAUGGGUGAUCAUUUUCGAUGAAGGUGAUGAGUUCCUUGCAAUCGAUAUUGACUUCCAAAGGUAGUAGUCCUCUUACUAAAGCUAUUUUGAGUCCUUGCAUGAGAGCUGUUAGUUCAGCUUUAACAUUAUUGGACAUAUGGAGAUUUCCCAUAUAACCUACAAUCCAAUCCCCAUUGUGGUCUCUGAUAACUCCCCUUGUGCCGCUUCUGCCGGGAUUCCCUAUUGAAGAACCAUCGCUAUUUAGUUUAUAACCUCUUUCUGGGGGCAUCCACUUGAUAAGGGUUGGUUGAUUCUUCUUUUUGGCACUUGUGCCUCCAAUGAGACUGUGGAAUUCAAUGGCAUGAUUAAUGGUUUUUUUGAUACACAAGUUGGUUUUUAUGUUCUUAUGGUAGUUUUCAUUUCUUUUUAACCACAGACUCCAUAAGAAGAAAGGAAAUAAAUCUUGCCAGGCAAGAAAACUUUGGUUUGUAUGUACUUGCAGCUUUUUUAUUUCCUCUAGCCAAUCUUUUUCUUGGCCAUUCCUAAUUUCGUUAAUGGAUCUUAGAACUUUUAAUUCGUUCCACAUAUUUUUUGCAAUGUAGCAUUCCAUAAAUAUGUGUUCUAAAGUUUCGGAUUUGUAACAUAUAUGGCAUGCCUGAUCGAUGUUUAUCCCGAUUGAAUGUAAAUAUUUCCAAGUAGGGAGUCUACCGUGCUGGCACAGCCAUACGAAGAAUUUUAUCUUGUUUGGGCAUUUGAGGGACCAAAUCCAUUUAUAUUUGUCAGGUGGUUCCUUUUUAUGCUUGUUCAUUAAGAGCUUGUAUACUGAAGAGGUUGUUAAUAUUCCAUUUGAAUUUAGCUUCCAUGAGGCAGUGUCCUCUUUAUUGUGUGUUAUAUACGUGCAGUGAAGCAGAUUUAUCAAUUCUUCCGGAAGAUCAAAUGAUAUAUCCUCUGUUUUUUUGACAUGGAUCUCGUGUGCUACUUCUCCUACUUUCAUAUCUAGUUCUAUUUCUUUUAGAGGUCUCUGAAUUUGUUCCCUGAUUGUUUUUCCAUUUGGUAGCCAUGUAUCAAACCAAAAGGAUGUUAGUUUGCCAUUUCCUAGAACCCACUCUAUGCCUUUUUUGCAGAUAUCCCAGCCUACUAUGAGGUCUUUCCAGAUUUUGUUGUGAUUUUUUAAAGAUUUAGAGCUUCUAUAGAGUUUUCCAUUGGUUGUGUAUUUUUUUAAUAAGAUUGAGGUCCAUAAUAAGUUUGGAUUUUUAAAGGCUCUCCAAGCCAGUUUUGAUAGAAGGGCUUUGUUUUUUAUAUUUGAUCUUUGUACUCCUAGCCCACCAUCACCUUCUUUAGCUGUUACUACUUCCCAUUUUAUCAGAUGGAGCUUUCUCUUUUCCUUAGUUGUUACCCUUAUGAAGUUUCGUUGUAUUUGGUCUAUUUUUAUUUGUGAUUGAUUUUGGGAGUUUUGUUAUUUGCAUAAUGUGGGUUGGAAUAUUAUUGAGGCAUGCGUUCGCCAGGGUGGUUCUUCCUGCUAUGUUUAGAAAUUUGGUGUUCCAUUCUGUUAAUUUGGAUUGCAUAUUAUCAGUAAUGAACUGAAAAUUAUUAUUUGUGACUCGACUGUGGGAUAUUGGGAUGCCUAGAUAUUUUCCAAAGUGUUUUCCACAUUUGAUUUUGAGUUUCCUCGAGAUGGUGUCAACCAAAGUCUCUGGAAAAUUAUUAGAAAAGAUUAGCUUUGAUUUUAGUGUGUUUAUUACUUGUCUAGAGGUGUGGCAGAACACUUUCAUAACUUCUUGUAUACAUUCACAGUUAGUUACACUUGCCUUACUCAUAAGUACAAGGUCGUCUGCGAAGAACAAGUGCGGAAUUUUUGGUCCUUUGUUUGAGAUUUUUAUUGGAGUCCAAUUUUUUAAUUGCACUUCUUGGUCUAUCUUCCUAGAUAAGAUUUCCAUACAGAGAAUGAAUAUGUAAGGUGACAUUGGGUCCCCUUGUUGUAUUCCCCUGGAUGGUCUGAAGUAUUCUAUUUUUGAUCCAUUAACGAGGAUUGCCAUUCAACUCGUUUAGAUGCACGACAUAAUUAACUUGAUGAUAUUACUGGGAAAUUGGAAGUAUUGGAGUGUUUCUUUAAUAAAGGACCACUCAAUCUUGUCGAAGGCCUUCUCUAGGUCAAUUUUAAGAAUUAGAUUUGCUUUCUUGCCUUUCAUUUUUUUAAAGUGUGAAAUGAUUUCUUGUACGAUAAUGGCAUUAUCUGUUGUUUGUCUAUUCUUUAAAAAAUGUGCUUGACAUGGCCCAAUUAUUUUGUCCAUGAUGGGUCUCAUUUGUUGGAAAAUUAUCUUUGUUAUUACUUUGUAUGUGGUGUUGCAAAGGCUUAUGGGCCUGAAGUCUUUUAAAUUAUUUGCGUUCUUUUUCUUUGGGAUUAGGCAUAUAAGAGUAUCAUUUAUUCCUUCGGGGAUGAGCCCUUGUAUGAAGGAAUCUUUACAUAGUUGUACGACUGAGUUUCCUACUAUACUCCAGUAUUUUUGGUACAAGAAAGGAUGGAGUUCGUCCGACCAAGGGGUUUUAAGGGGUUGGAAGGAAGAUAUAGCUUUAUGGACUUUUUCUGAUGACGGUGUUACUCCGAGGGUGGAGAAGUCUCUGGGAUAUCUUGGUCUUCUUGGCAUGUCCUAUUUCGUUUGGAGUGGGACUGUUUGGUGUGAAAUAGGUCCUUAAAGUAGUUGAAAAUGGUGUUUUUAAUUUCAUUUUGAUUAAACAACCAUUCCCCUUCAUCAGAGAUCAGGGCAGUGAUCCUAUUCUUUCUUCUUCUAUUUAGUGUGGUUGUAUGAAAUAAUCUAGUAUUUGCGUCUCCUUCGUUUAACCAGUUUACUCUAGAUUUUAAUUUCCAGAAUUCCUCUUCGAUGUGUAGUAAAUAGUAAUAUUUUUGAAUGAGCCCAUUUUCAAGUUGUGUAAGAAAAGAGCUGUGUGUGUAAUUUAGGGACUUUUGGAUUCCUUCUAGUCUUCUCAUUAUUUUUCUUUUUUUUGAGAAUAUAUUUCCAAAAGUAGUAUGAUUCCAUAUUGUUACUUUUUUCUGAAAAAUAGGUAUAGAGUUGAGUAUAUUAUUUCCCUCCCCCCAUGCGUCACUAAUUAUUUUUUGUAGGUCUGGGUGGGUGGCCCACAUUGUCUCGAAUCUAAUUUUUUUUCCCUCUUUACAUUUUCUAGUGGAAAAAGUGAAAGAAGGAGGGGGCAAUGAUUCGAGUGGGUACGAGGUAGGUGUUGUACCUGGGAGUCGGGGAAGGUAUGGAUCCAAUUGUCGUUUGCAAGAAAUCUAUCUAAUCUUUUGUAUAUUUGUUGAGAUCUAUUUUUAAAACAUUUAUUUAACCACGUGUAACGACUUCCUUUAAAC